AUGAACAGCUUGUUGGCUCCACCACAAGUCCCCAUCCAAUUUCCCUCCCUGAUGACGACCCUGAAAACCGACAAAAAACAAUAAGACAUGUCUCACUCCUUGUGCAUGGAAAUGACAACGAGUGAGAAUUCCAUUUCCACGUCACACCAAAUUGACAGAUAACAAAAAGCGAGCAGUUUGAGUUAAGGCAAAAGAGACCCAGCCCUGUUACUGUUAAACUCACUCAUAGAGGGUGCGACGAUACAACACGGUGGGCAUGCAAAGCAUAAAUUUAAAUGUACUAUGCAACAAAAAUUAUGAUAAUUCAUUUUGUAUAUAAAAGAAGGAGUCUCGGCAGAAUCGUUCUCUUUUCUGUGUGAUCCUCGAACGAAAUUGUAGUGCGCGCGUGUGUAGAGUUCAUUUAUUAGAGGUUAGAAAGUUGUUAAAAAAAACCUCGCGGCAAAUUUCUUAAUAUCGAAGUGUUGUUUCUAUUCUAAACUUUCAGGAAUCAUUUCAAAUCUGCUAUAAGUACUUAGUAAAAGAAAGUAGUUAGUAGAAUUAACAAGAUAUGUUUGUGAGUUCAAAGUGUUAAUGUGUAUCCUAUGCUAAAAUAAUUACCACACAAACGAAGAACAAAAACAUCCAAUUAGCCAGAAAUCUAAAGAAAAAGGCCCGAACAAAGGGCCUUUUUCUUCUUGUUCUUCUCCGAGUAUUUCGCAGCACUGAUGUCCGGCAAGAUCGCCGAUAGGCAGCCAGGAGGAUUGGGUACACGGGUAUCGAGUGAACGAAAUGACGGGCGGCCAUCUUGCAAAAUUGCCGAUCGGAGCCGAUACUCGUUCCGCCACCAUCUCAACUGUAGCGGACAGUUCCACGGCCGCUGGUAACCGUCUUCCGUCAAACCAACAGCAUGCACGAGCAACGAAUCCCAAUAUUCAUCGUGUCACCUACUCCGAUACUCCGUCGUCUUCUCCGGUCUGCAAUCCGGCAGCCAAAUCCAGUCUGCCAUCCGACAUCCACUCGGUGUUGCAAUCCAGCAGCCAAUCUUCGCUAGUAAUCCUGUGAGCAACGCUAGAUGGUGAUCCCACCGUCCACAAAUCAGUACCCGAAACCAAAAACGAUUCCUGAAGCUACAACCACCAAGAUCCGGAUCUAUCCCGUCGAACCAGCAUGAGUAUGUACCCCUGUGUGACGUCACUAAUAAAUAGUUAAAUUGUAA